rnacentral:rRNA from 1 species
GACGAACGCUGGCGGCGUGCUUAACACAUGCAGGUCGAACGGAAAGGCCCUGCUUUUGUGGGGUGCUCGAGUGGCGAACGGGUGAGUAACACGUGAGUAACCUGCCCUUGACUUUGGGAUAACUUCAGGAAACUGGGGCUAAUCCCGGAUAGGAGCUCCUGCUGCAUGGUGGGGGUUGGAAAGUUUCGGCGGUUGGGGAUGGACUCGCGGCUUAUCAGCUUGUUGGUGGGGUAGUGGCUUACCAAGGCUUUGACGGGUAGCCGGCCUGAGAGGGUGACCGGCGACAUUGGGACUGAGAUACGGCCCAGACUGCUACGGAAGGCAGCAGUGGGGGAUGUUGCACAAUGGGCGGAGGCCUGAUGCAGCAACCCCGCGUGCGGGAUGACGGCCUUCGGGUUGUAGACCGCUUUCGCCUGUGACGAAGCGUGAGUGACGGUAAUGGGUAAAGAAGCACCGGCUAACUACGUG